GUACUAUAUUUCUAAGCCUGCAUUUUCACUGAUGCAUAAUUUUCUUAUCAAUAUUAAGAAACAGUUUUUCUAUAAUAUCUCAGAAACUGCAUGACAUCACUAGCAUUGUCUCUGCUUAGUUUAUCAGAGGGUGUUUUUCAUUUUUAUUACUUUGGGGUUACUCACCAUCAUGGUUUAUUUCUUGACUUAUGGCCACAACUAACCAGAUGUUCGAUAUGAUGAAGUUAAAUUGAGGGUAAUAAAAGCAUUGGAUUAAACAUUUGGUUUGCCAGCCUAUGGUAUCACAGGCAUUGCCCAAAACAUUUAUAGUAGCCAUGGAAUUCCUGUUAUAGGGUGUUAGCAAUCUUACGUUUUAUAGAGGUCAAAUGCAUGAUUUUCAUAGAUGGUUGAUGAUGGUAAGAACUGAUUACUCUGUUGGUUAAACUACAUUUACUAUGGGGACCUUCAAGAGGAAUACUACUCACUGUAUUCCUACACUAAAGGCAGGUACUGCAGUGUGGAGAAACAUUCUGGGAACAAAGGUUACAACAAUCUGGAAGUAAGGAAAGAUUUAUCUGUGUAUUGUAUUGGAAAGAAAGGAAAGAAAAAAAUCUUAACUGGAAAUGUUAGUUUGUACUUACUUAUCAUGAAUAUAAGUAUAUAUUUAAUUUUACAAACUA
rnacentral:lncRNA from 1 species